GACGAACGCUGGCGGCGUGCCUAAUACAUGCAAGUAGAACGCUGAAGGAGGAGCUUGCUCUUCUGGAUGAGUUGCGAACGGGUGAGUAACGCGUAGGUAACCUGCCUGGUAGCGGGGGAUAACUAUUGGAAACGAUAGCUAAUACCGCAUAAUAGUAGAUGUUGCAUGACAUUUGCUUAAAAGGUGCAAUUGCAUCACUACCAGAUGGACCUGCGUUGUAUUAGCUAGUUGGUGGGGUAACGGCUCACCAAGGCGACGAUACAUAGCCGACCUGAGAGGGUGAUCGGCCACACUGGGACUGAGACACGGCCCAGACUCCUACGGGAGGCAGCAGUAGGGAAUCUUCGGCAAUGGACGGAAGUCUGACCGAGCAACGCCGCGUGAGUGAAGAAGGUUUUCGGAUCGUAAAGCUCUGUUGUAAGAGAAGAACGAGUGUGAGAGUGGAAAGUUCACACUGUGACGGUAUCUUACCAGAAAGGGACGGCUAACUACGUGCCAGCAGCCGC
rnacentral:rRNA from 1 species